GACGAACGCUGGCGGCGUGCUUAACACAUGCAAGUCGAACGAAGAGCGAUGGAAGCUUGCUUCUAUCAAUCUUAGUGGCGAACGGGUGAGUAACGCGUAAUCAACCUGCCCUUCAGAGGGGGACAACAGUUGGAAACGACUGCUAAUACCGCAUACGAUCUAAUCUCGGCAUCGAGGAUGGAUGAAAGGUGUCCUCGACAUGUAAGCUAUCACUGAAGGUGGGGAUUGCGUCUGAUUAGCUAGCUGGAGGGGUAACGGCCCAACCAGGGGAAGAACAGUAGCCGGUCCGGAGGGAUGAAUCGCCAAAUUGGGAAUGAGAAAAGGCCCAGGAUCCUGAGGGGAGGAGCAGGGGGGAAACUUUCGAAAUGGAGGGAAGGCUGAAGGAGGAAAGCCGCGGGAGUGGUGAAGGCCUUCGGGUUGGAAAGCUCUGUUAAUCGGGAAGAAAGGCCUUCUUGCGAAUAGUGAGAAGGAUUGACGGUACCGAAAUAGAAAGCCACGGCUAACUACGUG
rnacentral:rRNA from 1 species